rnacentral:misc_RNA from 1 species
GCAGGGUGACAGAGAUUGUCCCCUGACGUCCGCCGGAGGCAGAGCCGUACUCCUCGCGAGCACGGACCAGCGGCGGUUCGAGUGGGGCCACAAGGCUGCAGGGACGGUACGUCGGGUCGGGCUUGCCCGCUCGACGACUUACAGCCCGGCACGCCGGCACCCCACCCGGACCGAGGAAGGAGGGCAGCUCUUGCCCGGUGUGGUGCACGCCGUAUGGCGGGGCCUCCCGUCGAGGGCGAGACGUGCUGGGUGGACCGCGUGCGGUGCUCACUGUCACGGCGAACCCACGGUCGGAGAGUGUCACUUGUGCACCAGUGCUGCUGGUAUUCGGAC